GCCUGGCUAGCUCAGUCGGUAGAGCAUGAGACGCUUGGGUCGUGGGUUCGAGCCCCACGUUGGGCG